GAUGAACGCUGACAGAAUGCUUAACACAUGCAAGUCGAUUCAAUUUACCUUCGGGUAUUGAGGAUGGCGGACGGGUGAGUAACGCGUAAGGAACUUGCCUCUUGGUCUGGGACAACUGUUGGAAACGACAGCUAAUACCGGAUAUUAUGAGAUUCUCGCAUGAGAAACUUAUGAAAGCUAUAUGCGCCAAGAGAGAGCCUUGCGUUCCAUUAGCUAGUUGGUGGGGCAACGGCCCACCAAGGCGACGAUGGAUAGCCGGCCUGAGAGGGUGAACGGCCACAAGGGGACUGAGACACGGCCCUUACUCCUACGGGAGGCAGCAGUGGGGAAUAUUGGACAAUGGGCCACAAGCCUGAUCCAGCAAUUCUGUGUGCACGAUGAAGGUCUUCGGAUUGUAAAGUGCUUUCAGUUGGGAAGAAGAAAGUGACGGUACCAACAGAAGAAGCGACGGCUAAAUACGUGCCAGCAGCCGCGGUAAUACGUAUGUCGCAAGCGUUAUCCGGAUUUAUUGGGCGUAAAGCGCGUCUAGGCGGAAAAAUAAGUCUGAUGUUAAAAUGCGGGGCUCAACUCCGUAUUGCGUUGGAAACUGUUUUUCUAGAGUACUGGAGAGGUGGGCGGAACUACAAGUGUAGAGGUGAAAUUCGUAGANAUUUGUAGGAAUGCCGAUGGAGAAGUCAGCUCACUGGACAGANACUGACGCUAAAGCGCGAAAGCGUGGGGAGCAAACAGGANUAGAUACCCUGGUAGUCCACGCCGUAAACGA
rnacentral:rRNA from 1 species